GGUGGGGAUAAUACUGUCGUUGUCCCACCCGUUCUCAUUCCGAACACGGAAGUGAAAUGCGACAAGGCCGAUGGUAGUGGUUUUCCGCGAGAGUAGGUAGUCCCCACCC
rnacentral:rRNA from 1 species